rnacentral:rRNA from 1 species
GACAGAGGGUGCAAACGUUGUUCGGAAUUACUGGGCGUAAAGCGUGUGUAGGCGGCCAGACAAGUCGGAUGUGAAAGCCCUGGGCUCAACCCAGGAAGUGCACUCGAUACUGUCUGGCUUGAGUAUCGGAGAGGUUGGUGGAAUUCUCGGUGUAGAGGUGAAAUUCGUAGAUAUCGAGAGGAACACCGGUGGCGAAGGCGGCCAACUGGACGAAUACUGACGCUGAGACACGAAAGCGUGGGGAGCAAACAGG